rnacentral:lncRNA from 1 species
CGUUACAUUCUGUUCUGCCUUUAACUGAGAAUCUUGAAUUAGCCAGGCAUCUAUGAAGACAGUGAUGUUGUGAAGACAGAGGUAUGCAGCAACUGCAGCAAGACACUUUGGGGCAGUGUACAGUCCAAAGAGAAGGGCUUUGAACUCGAAUAAUGUGUCAUUGAGUGCAAACCUUAGGAGUCUAUGGUGGUCAGGUCAUAUACUGAUGCGCAAUUAUGCAUCCUUUAGGUUGAUGACCAUGAACCAGUCCCACUUCCUUAGAAAAGGAAUGAUGAUUUCUAAAAUUACAACAUAAAAGUAUUUGGGCUUUAUAUAGUAAUUGAGGUCCCUGAGGUCUAGAAUGGAGCAAAGGCCCCCAUCAAACUUGGGACUGUGAAAUCAUGGGAAUAGAAGUCGUUGUGUCCUUGAGAAGUAGGGGUGUGAUUUCCUCUUCUAAUACAGAAGAUGUGUUAUGAGCCUUUAAAAGCCCAUGAGUGAGAGGGUAGGGAAUUUGAUUGCAUCGUCUAAAUGAAUUACAGAAAGGACCCAGGAACUGUUAUUUGUUACUAGAUUUCAAGGUAUAGAGAUAAUGGUUAAAUUGCCGCACUGUGGCCAAAACUGUGCUCACAACCCGGGGUUCAAUCCCAGGUAGCUGACUCAAGGUUGACUCAGCCUUCUAUCCUUCUGAGGUCAGUAAAAUGAGUACCCAGCUCGCUGGGGGAGGGCAAUGUGUAGCCUCCAUAAUUAACUUGUAAACCACCCAGAGAGUGCUUGAAGCACUAUGGGGCGGUAUAUAAGCAGCAUACUUUGCUUUUUAAUAUGGUAUGUGGGGCUGACAGGAGGUGAAAGGGACAAAUUUGCCAAUGAGAAGAAUCAAAGAUGUUGUUUUGUUUUCUUUCAGGUCACCUGGAGGAAGGUUGGCAGAACUGUUCGUUGUGGGUUUGUUGGCAGUAGAACUGAGAAGAGGAAGAAGGAGCUGGGUUCCUUUGUCUGAUUCUGGUCCCAGGAAAGGCAGGCUCAGAGCCAGCACAGAAAAGGCUUUUUCCCUGCUAGUGCCAGUUUAACAAUUGUCACUGAUGAAUGAGAUCUGAAAGCAAAUCUACUUCAACUCAGACAGAAAGCUCUAACAGAGAAGCUUUUAAAUAUAUCAAUAUGCCAAAUAAAAAGAAAGAUGGGAAGCUGAUUAUCCUUACU